rnacentral:tRNA from 1 species
GGGGUUGUGGCUCAGCGGUAGAGUGCUCGCUUCACAUGUGAGAGACCCUGGGUUUGAUCCUCAGCACCA